UAGGUAUAUGUAUAUACACACACACACACACACAUACACAUAUGGCUGUACUAUCAUAUAGAUCCAACAGCCAAACACCUGGAAGUAUUAGGUACAAGUUUAAAAUAUCUUUUAUAGGUUUUAUAUAAAAAUGUCUGAGUAUUAUUUUGUGUCAAAGUUCUGAUAUCAGUUGUAAUGGAUUCAAAUUUAUGUGAGCAAUAACGAAGCAAUUGGCAUAUAUUGGAAAAAUAUUUUCUGAGAAGCUGUAUUUAUUAUAAAUAUUAGGGCUUUGACAUAGUACCAUUGGGAAUAAGUCAUUUUCCCAAUCUAUUUAUAAUUUAAUGAAAUGUUAAAGCUCAUGUUAUAUGUCAAGUUAAAAGCAGGGCAACAUUGUUGUAGCAAAAUGUGUAUUUGACAAAUUAUACUUGUAAUUUGGGGUCAUGAAAGAUUGCAGUAUAGUAAAUACACAAGUGACCAUUGUUUUGUGCCUCAGUAUUUAAUUUGUUUCAGUAAAGUUACUUUAUUACUGUUUAUGAUUUCCAAUUAAAAUAGUUGUUGAGCAAAGUUUACCUGUAAUCUAACAAUUGGCUUUUUAAAAAUAACCCAUUGAUCUAUCAUUAUCAGUCCAAAUGAAUAUGUGAAACAGCUGAAAUUGUACCAAUUUUGAUUUUGUUCAAAGCUCAAUUUCUUUUUUUUUUUAAUUGUAUGUGUUGGGUUUGCAGCAUGAACUUGCACAGAUAAUGCACGUUUUCUCGUUAAGUAAACACGAUGCACACUGUUCUGUAACAGAAAGCCCUAUUGUGCCUUACCUAUGUGCUUUUGUGGGCACCAUGUUUAUGAAGAAUAAAAAAUGAUUCGUUAUCUGAAGAGAAUAAAUUUUAAAUUCUCAGUUUAUUUCUCAGAUGCUAACGUGUGAAAAUAUAAAUAUACAUAAUAUAUAAAGUAACCAAUCUUUCUGUAUUUUAUGUGCAUCAUAGUGAUUUAUCUGAGCUUAGUAACCCCAUCUUGUAACCUGUUGCAAGAGUGAAUGUAAAAAAUAGUUGUGACAUUUUAAAAGGUCACCUUUUGAUGCAGAUGCAUCUUUUUCUUCUAAAACAUAUUUCAUGUAAACAUUGUACAUUUAUUAUUGUAAUAUAUACUGUUAUGCAGCUUAUUUUAUCAGAAACUGUUAAGCCGACCAAGAUCCCUCCCUGCAAAGACAGAUGGGAAUGUGUAUAAUAACUUGAUAUUUGAGAAGUUCUGAAGUUUGAUGUAAUCUGUUACUUGUCCUGUUAAAAAAAAAAAAAAAGGAAAAAAUUCUAUUAAAAAUUUAUUAGGUUUUUUUUAA